CCUACGGGAGGCAGCAGUGAGGAAUAUUGGUCAAUGGGCGCGAGCCUGAACCAGCCAAGUCGCGUGAGGGAAGACGGUCCUAUGGAUUGUAAACCUCUUUUGUCGGGGAGCAAAAGACGCCACGCGUGGCGUUCCGAGCGUACCCUACGAACAAGCAUCGGCUAACUCCGUGCCAGCAGCCGCGGUAAUACGGAGGAUGCGAGCGUUAUCCGGAUUGAUUGGGUUUAAAGGGUGCGCAGGCGGAAGAUCAAGUCAGCGGUAAAAUUGAGAGGCUCAACCUCUUCGAGCCGUUGAAACUGGUUUUCUUGAGUGAGCGAGAAGGAGGCGGAAUGCGUGGUGUAGCGGUGAAAUGCAUAGAUAUCACGCAGAACUCCGAUUGCGAAGGCAGCAUACCGGCGCUCAACUGACGCUCAUGCACGAAAGUGUGGGUAUCGAACAGGAUUAGAUACCCCAGUAGUC
rnacentral:rRNA from 1 species